UUUACAGGCCAAUGAUGAUGUUGAAGCUGAUGUGAGUGCCCAGGCUGAUCCCAAGAUGACAUUGUUAUUCCUCUACCUCCCAGACUGUAAUCUACAUGCUCUACAUGAUUGACCGUGUGCAAACGAAUCUUUGAACUUAUAAGCCAUUAGAAGACCAAACCAAUUCAACAAAAGUAUGUGGAAACAUUGGAAAAGCAAGCCGAUCUCACCCAGACACAUGCACAGUCCUUACAAGAAAAUAUAAGACAUUUGGCAGCAGAAGUAUCUGAGCUAAAAAUCAUAACAACAGAGUUUGCUGUUUCAUUAACAUGGUCAAAAAUCCAAACAAAGUGUCCUAAACAGGUCUUCAAAACCGUGAUGUAUGCCGAGACAUUUUAAGUGAAACUUCACAUCAUGAAGACAAAGUUAGCUAUUUUCUGAGGAUGAACUACUACUUACUCUGAUGAAACUCAGGAGUAUCUUGUGUAUGCAAGUUGUAGCUUUCAGAUUUGGAAAAUCAAAAUGAUCAUUCAAGUCUUGUGCAUUCAACUGGGAGGCCUUGUCUAGUGGCCAGAAUCAAUGGACAUUAGCUUACCGACAGCAUUUCACAAGACAUUCCGAAGAGAAAGGUGUAAAACUGACUGUAACGUGGUCUUCAAUGAAAGGCCAAGCAACAACACUGCCAGGUCACAGACACUCCGGGUACAACACAACACAGUCAGGUUUCUGAUAGAGCCGUCAUCUUCCUUUCUCUCGUUUGUUUGUGUGUUUGUUUGUUAUUUAACGCUGCACUCAGCAAUAUUCCAGCUAUAUGACAGCGGUCUGUAAAUAGUCGAGUCUGGACCAGACAGUCCAGUGAUUGAUCAUCGAUCCACGCGAUUGGGAUACGAGGACAUGCAUCAACAAAGUGAGCGAGACAAGCAUAGUCGCCUUUGACGGCAAGCAUGGGUUGCUGAAGACCUAUUCUAUCCAGGAUCUUCACGGGGACCUUUCUCUUGUGUGGGGUGGACGAGUCAGUGACAAGGUCGUCUCUCUUCAAAAUGACAUCAUUGAGAAAUUUGUACCAGGUGGUGUAGUUUUGGCUGACCGAGGCUUCUUCAUCAACACUGAAUUGGCAACUGGGGCUGCAAAGCUAUACUCCAAAAGAAGAAUCUCAUGGCAAGAAGUAGAAACAUCAAGGAUGUCAAGGACACUGGUUGCGAGUCAUGGUCACUGGUUGCAAAUCAUCAGCUUCCUCAAGGACAGGGCUGUUGUAAAGUGUCUCCUGUCUAUCAGUCUUGUCAAGAGAAUGAAGAACUCUAUGAAAUGCACUGUGGGCAAGAUAGUACACGUGCGUGUUGCCUUGGUGAACCUAUGUCCUCCAAUCAUUGAGUAAUUACGGCAAUUGCAAAUUGUACAAGGAUUAGACAAGGAACAAGACCAGUGUUCAUCAAAUAAAUUGUACUUAAUCGUC